GAUGAACGCUAGCUACAGGCUUAACACAUGCAAGUCGAGGGGAAACGAUAUUGGAAGCUUGCUUCCGAUAGGCGUCGACCGGCGCACGGGUGAGUAACGCGUAUCCAACCUGCCCACCACUUGGGGAUGACCUUGCGAAAGUAAGACUAAUACCCAAUGAUGUCCAUAGAAGACAUCUGAAAUGGACUAAAGAUUUAUCGGUGAUGGAUGGGGAUGCGUCUGAUUAGCUUGUUGGCGGGGUAACGGCCCACCAAGGCGACGAUCAGUAGGGGUUCUGAGAGGAAGGUCCCCCACAUUGGAACUGAGACACGGUCCAAACUCCUACGGGAGGCAGCAGUGAGGAAUAUUGGUCAAUGGGCGAGAGCCUGAACCAGCCAAGUAGCGUGCAGGAUGACGGCCCUAUGGGUUGUAAACUGCUUUUAUAAGGGAAUAAAGUGAGCCUCGUGAGGCUUUUUGCAUGUACCUUAUGAAUAAGGACCGGCUAAUUCCGUGCCAGCCGCCGCCGUAA
rnacentral:rRNA from 1 species